rnacentral:rRNA from 1 species
UACGGGGGGGGCAAGCGUUGUUCGGAAUUACUGGGCGUAAAGGGCUCGUAGGUGGCCAACUAAGUCAGACGUGAAAUCCCUCAGCUUAACUGGGGAACUGCGUCUGAUACUGGAUGGCUUGAGUUUGGGAGAGGGACGCGGAAUUCCAGGUGUAGCGGUGAAAUGCGUAGAUAUCGGGAGGAACACCAGUGGCGAAGGCGGCGACCUGGGCCAAUACUGACGCUGAGGUGCGAAAGCGUGGGGAGCAAACAGG